rnacentral:lncRNA from 1 species
GGAGAAAGGGCCCUGGGCUCGGCUCCCACGCUCGGGCAGGCCUCCCGCCGGGGGAUCGGAGCUGCGGUCACUCGCGGCUUCGGGGCCGUGGCGUCCCGCGCACAGCUUCCGCGCCUCUGCAAGGCGGUCUGAAGAAAUGGAGGUGAACAGAGGAACAGCCACUCCCAGCAAGCAAGGGAAGAAGAAUCUUGAAAGCCUGUGACUUCACAGAGACUUCUUGAUUGAUGCCCCUGAAAUCAGCCUGCCAAGUGUGGCCUCUGCAGCAUAAAUACAAGGAGUCUGAUGACACAAGACGGCGUCUGAUGAUAGUUCUGUCACCCUCAGCCAUAUUAUAAUUCCAUGUCCUCGUAGUCACCCUGCCA